rnacentral:RNase_P_RNA from 1 species
UGAGCUGACCAAACGACCGCGGACACUUUGCGAAAGCUGGUGUAUGAGGAAAGUCCGGGCUCCGCAGGGCAAGGAUAACGGGUAACACCCGCCAGGGGCAACCCUCGGACAAGUGCAACAGAAAUAGACUUCCCGUGUUUUUCAUGGGGGAUGGUGGAAAGGUGAGGUAAGAGCUCACCCGUCGCAUGGAGACAUGUUGAUGCUGUAAACUCUAUCCGGAGCAACACCGUGGUAGGACAUAUGGCCGGCCCGGCCGUCCUUUGGAGGUGGCUUGAGCCUGGUGGCAACAUCAGGCCUAGAUAGAUGGUCGUUCUAGACAGAACCCGGCUUACAGGUCAGCUCAUUUU